CUACGGGAGGCAGCAGUGGGGAAUCUUGCGCAAUGGGCGAAAGCCUGAUCCAGCCAUGCCGCGUGAGUGAUGAAGGCCUUAGGGUUGUAAAGCUCUUUCGGCGGGGAAGAUAAUGACGGUACCCGCAGAAGAAGCCCCGGCUAACUUCGUGCCAGCAGCCGCGGUAAUACGAAGGGGGUUAGCGUUGCUCGGAAUCACUGGGCGUAAAGCGCACGUAGGCGGACUAUUAAGUCAGGGGUGAAAUCCCGGGGCUCAACCCCGGAACUGCCUUUGAUACUGGUAGUCUCGAGUCCGGAAGAGGUGAGUGGAAUUCCGAGUGUAGAGGUGAAAUUCGUAGAUAUUCGGAGGAACACCAGUGGCGAAGGCGGCUCACUGGUCCGGUACUGACGCUGAGGUGCGAAAGCGUGGGGAGCAAACAGGAUUAGAAACCCGGGUAGUCC
rnacentral:rRNA from 1 species